ensembl:lncRNA
CAGAGUGGUUGUGACUCACAGCAAAGGCAUCAGAAUGGCAUUAAUUGAAGAAACAAAUGCCCCAAGUGACAGACUCCUUACUGUAAAAGCUGUCGAUGAACCCAGACAAUAAACACUGCAUUCAACACAAGCUUGCCUGCCCCUGUCGCCUCUGUGAGCCAACCAAGUGAGCCCCUGCCACCUCUCAGGUGCUAUGCUGACUUGAUCCCUUUCUCAAGCAACUUAGAGCCUAACGAUGGUAAACAAGCCCUGGAGAGCCAUGAUAAGCAGCUGGGUGUUAUGGGGAGCUGACAGAAUUUUGUGACAAUUCUGGGAAAUGCUUUCAGAUGGCCCCUUUCAUGAAUUAUGAAUGUUCCACAAAGCUCGGUGCUGGAGGCUAAUGCCCAAGUCUUCCUGGAGCCAUGCUGAAGAUGCAUAGCAGAGCUUCAUCAGCUUAAGUCUCCUAAUGGCUCUUUGAAACAGAGUCCCUCACUCCCAAAUCCCUACCACCUCCAUCUCCAUUAGACUAAGACACUAUCCAAAAAUAAACUUAUUAAGUCACUGACAUUUACCACAAGACUUAGCCUAGCAUGAUGGAUUCAAAAAAUUUUAUUUUAAGUUACAAUAUAAUGCUAACAAUCAAGGAUUUGCACAACACUUAAAGAAUUAGGGUCCUAAGGUAAAAGAAAAGCCACAGCUGGCCUUCAGGAAAUUUGGGUAAAUGGGAAAUAUAGGGAAAUAUUCCUGCUGAUAAUCUCUCCUGACUGCAAAACCAAAGAAGGUGAUUUGCAGGAGCUCUCCUGGAAAUUUGCUGUAAAUCUCCUGUCUGCUGCCUGCCAAAGUGUCUGCCUGCAGCUGCCACCAGAGAAAAAUGGCUUUUCCUUUCUCUUAUCUUCCAAAUCUUGCACAGUCCUUCUUUUUGGCAGAAUCUAACCCAGAACCCUGCUGGAAAUGGAAUUCUGAAAGGUCUAAUUCAGCUGCUUCUACCCUGAGAUGCAGAAGAGAGUUUGGAAGGGGAUGGAAGGAAGAAAGGAAGAAAAGUCUUGAAUGAUUGAUGAAUAGUGAGUGUUCGAAUUCCCCAAUGCUGAAGGCAGAGAACUUCUCUUUAGCAGGCUUUUGGAAGUUUCUUCAGAACAGCACAAGAGAUUAGGGGAGAGAUGGGGAGAUGUGCAAAAUUGGACAAUACGUUUCUGAAGCCACAUUCUAACAAAGAAAAUUUCUACAACGCAGGAAUAAAAGAAAACUAGUAGCCACAUAACUGCUAGACCACCAAGGCCUGCAAUACCCUUGUCUUAGAAAUCCCUCCCUGUUUCCUGCCCAUUACCACCUGCAGGGCCUCACUGUAUAGAUUCCUCCUCCUCCCAGAAGACUUUGGGGAUUAAAUCUAGAGAUUUCUGAAGACUUCUAGAGAUUUCUAGAGACUUCUGACUCUGCCUCCCUCCCUCAAUAUUUCUCAUUUUCCCCUUGGCAGGAAAUUUUUUAUGUAUGUGUUAUAGACAGAGCUGUGUCUUCUCCUUCAGAAGUUUUUCCUUCCACAUUUCAUUACAGGAUAGUUCUGAACAACAGAAGUGCUGUAAUGUUAACUAGAACUGGGCCUUCACAUAAAAGACACUCAGUGAAGAUUUUCUGAAUGAAGAAUGAACACGCAUGAAUGAAAUACACCUCACUAAGUCCUAACUAAAUGCCUCAGUUAGGGCCUGGAAAAGUUUGGGUACUAAGAGUAAUCAGGCUGGAUGGUUAUUUAUCAUUUGUCAGUUCCAGUUGACCAUUCUCACUUUUGGUGGUGGUAAUAACUUUAGAUAGAUCAAGAGUGUUAAAUUUUCAUUUUCCUUUUUAAAAAUUGCAUAAGCUUGCUACAGACAUGUUUUAUCCUAAUCUAUUCCCUCAUUUUUGCCUUUCUAGGAUUUGUGAUAUAAUAAAAUCAACAAUAGCUUUGCAAAAAAAUAAGUUGCAUGUCAGUUGCAAAAGAAAGAAAAUACAAUAGACUGACUCUGGGAGUGAGCACUGGGCUGAGAGUUGGAAACAGUCUCCAAACAGGGGUUCCUCCAUCACCAGCAGCAAAAUAACAAUAAUAAUAAUUGGUAACACUUCUUGAAUGUUUGGGCUUCCCUGGUGCCUCAGACAGUAAAGAAUCUGUCUACAUUGUGGGAGACCCAGGUUCGAUCCCUGGGUUGGGAAGAUCCCCUGGAGGAGGAGAUGGCAACCCACUCCAGUAUUCUUGCUGGAGAAUUCCCCUGGACAGAGGUGCCUAGCAGGCUACAGUCCAUGGAGUCGCAAAGAGUCAAACAUGACUGCACAACUAAACCCAGCAAGCACAGCACUGGGUCCUCAUAGAAAUCUCCACGGAACAGGCUAAAAUGGUGAUGGUAGUUUAGCCUCUAAAUCAUGUCUGACUCUUUGCGGCCCCAUGAACUGUUACAUGCCAGGCUUCCCUGUCCAUGGGGAUUCUCCAGGCAAGAGAACUGGAGUGGAUUGCCAUUUCCUCCUCCAGGGAAUCUUCCAGGCCCAGGGACCAAAUCCUUGUCUCUUAUAUCUGCUGUAUUCACAGGUGGGUUCUUUACUAGUACCACCUGGCAAGCCCAAAUUAUAUGCUACCUACCGCACAAUUGCACUCAUCUCACAUGCUAGUAAAGUAAUGCUCAAAAUUCUCCAAGCCAGGCUUCAGCAAUAUGUGAACUGUGAACUUCCUGAUGUUCAAGCUGGUUUUAGAAAAGGCAGAGGAAUCAGAGA